AUCUUUUUAUAGUUCAUAGGUGUGAUGAUUGGUUGUUCAUGCUUAUGUGUGAGAUGUGCCCCCUCAAAACUUGUUAUGAUAUCAGCACAUUACCCAUUGGAUA
ensembl:snoRNA